CAGUGCGCAUGUCCAACUGGCAUCGCCCUCAAGUCUGAUGGGAAAACCUGUGACCAUGACACUGGAGAAAUCUACAAGGUUCCUCUGGAAGUACCUGAAACCCCUUGUUAUCCUUUGGGAAUCACCGCAAACAUCUCAAGACCCGU
rnacentral:misc_RNA from 1 species